UUUACACUUAACCUAGACUAAGCAAGCCCCAGCCGUUUCUAUUCUUCAUCCCCCAUCUCUAACUCUUCUUUUGUUUUCACAAUUGGCCGAAUAAAUCCAGAGCCAAACGCCUAUCUUUCCCAUGCUCCGGUCACUCAAACAGAAAGUUACAUAACUCUCUGUGCCGACCACCUAGCCUCUCAACCACGAGGACAACCACUCCGACAGUAAGAGAUCGCAACAAUAAGGAUGCAAAACAACUUACCACGAUCUCACCCAACUUCGGCGACAGAUGUUCCGACAACGACGAGACAAUAAGCGAGGAAGGUUUCACGUGGGCAGCUCGGUUGGGGGUGCUGAAAGGGCGUGCACAAGUUGCUGCUAGGUUGAAGUGAUCCACGUGGGAUGCAUGGGUGACUGUGGUGGAGUUGCUGCCACCGGGUCGGAUCUUGUAACGGGUCUGGAUCCGAGUCAUGUAACCUGUAAAAAAUAGUUAUAUUAAUAAUAAUAAUAAUAAUAAUAUAUAAUAAUAUUAAAAGACGAGACGAAAAAUAAGUGUCGACGGCUGCCCCUCUUUGUCUAUUCUUGUGUCAACAAGAAUAGGGCAAAGAUGAAAAGACAAUGCAUUUUUCGUCUGGUCAACUUCAUGGUUUGAAAUAUGAUGAGGGAUUUAUUCUCCUAUCACUCAGGGAAUAUCAGAUCUGGGGAUGUUGAUUCAUUAAAUCAAGGUAGAC